AGGGUUCGAUUAUGGCUCAGGAUGAACGCCGGCGGUGUGCCUAAUACAUGCAAGUCGAGCGCAUUGGCCCAACUGAUAUGACGUGCUUGCACUGAAUUGAUGUUGGAUUACCAGUGAGCGGCGGACGGGUGAGUAACACGUGGGCAACCUGCCCUGAAGCGGGGGAUAACAUCUGGAAACAGGUGCUAAUACCGCAUAACAACGAAAACCACAUGGUUUUCGUUUCAAAGAUGGUUUCGGCUAUCACUUCAGGAUGGGCCCGCGGUGCAUUAGCUAGUUGGUAAGGUAACGGCUUACCAAGGCAAUGAUGCAUAGCCGAGUUGAGAGACUGAUCGGCCACAAUGGAACUGAGACACGGUCCAU
rnacentral:rRNA from 1 species